UACAAAGGGGGCUAGCGUUGCUCGGAAUCACUGGGCGUAAAGCGCACGUAGGCGGAUUGCUAAGUCAGGGGUGAAAUCCUGGAGCUCAACUCCAGAACUGCCUUUGAUACUGGCGAUCUUGAGUCCGGGAGAGGUGAGUGGAACUCCGAGUGUAGAGGUGAAAUUCGUAGAUAUUCGGAAGAACACCAGUGGCGAAGGCGGCUCACUGGCCCGGUACUGACGCUGAUGUGCGAAAGCGUGGGGAGCAGACAGG
rnacentral:rRNA from 1 species